UACAGAGGGGGCGAGCGUUGUUCGGAAUUACUGGGCGUAAAGGGCGCGUAGGCGGCCUUCUAAGUCGAACGUGAAAUCCCCGGGCUCAACCCGGGAACUGCGUCCGAUACUGGGAGGCUUGAAUCCGGGAGAGGGAUGUGGAAUUCCAGGUGUAGCGGUGAAAUGCGUAGAUAUCGGGAGGAACACCAGUGGCGAAGGCGGCUUUCUGGGCCUUACCUGACGCUGAGACGCGAAAGCGUGGGGAGCGAACAGG
rnacentral:rRNA from 1 species